AACGAACGCUGGCGGCAUGCCUAACACAUGCAAGUCGAACGAGACCUUCGGGUCUAGUGGCGCAAGGGUGCGUAACGCGUGGGAACCUGCCCUUAGGUUCGGAAUAACUCCCCGAAAGGGGUGCUAAUACCGGAUAAUGUCUUCGGACCAAAGAUUUAUCGCCUUUGGAUGGGCCCGCGUUGGAUUAGCUAGUUGGUAGGGUAAAAGCCUACCAAGGCGACGCUCCAUAGCUGGUCUGAGAGGAUGAUCAGCCACACUGGGACUGAGACACGGCCCAGACUCCUACGGGAGGCAGCAGUGGGGAAUAUUGGACAAUGGGCGAAAGCCUGAUCCAGCAAUGCCGCGUGAGUGAUGAAGGCCUUAGGGUUGUAAAGCUCUUUUACCCGGGAUGAUAAUGACAGUACCGGGAGAAUAAGCUCCGGCUAACUCCGUG
rnacentral:rRNA from 1 species